UACGGGGGGAGCAAGCGUUAUUCGGAUUUACUGGGCGUAAAGGGCGCGUAGGCGGCGCAACAAGUCACUUGUGAAAUCUCCGGGCUUAACCCGGAGCGGCCAAGUGAUACUGUCGUGCUAGAGUGCGGAAGGGGCUACUGGAAUUCUCGGUGUAGCGGUGAAAUGCGUAGAUAUCGAGAGGAACACCUGCGGCGAAGGCGGGUAGCUGGGCCGACACUGACGCUGAGGCGCGAAAGCCAGGGGAGCGAACGGG
rnacentral:rRNA from 1 species